CUCUGAACAAAUCUUGUGAACAACUGGUUAUGAUGAUGUCUCUGUGCUGAUGCAGAACCAGACCUCCUAACUGUUGCUUCCUCUAUUUAUUACCUACGCAUGGAAAAUCCAAUGCGCUGAGCUUAUGCCCAGUGGGUGAAUAACAACAUAUAUAUAUUCAUUCAAGUAUACUAGGAAUAAUCAUGACAUAUAUAAUGAAAUCAUUUGAUAUAAAAGCACAUAAAUAUUUUAUGUGUCAGUGGACAAAUCAGGUCAUUAAAUUUUAUAGCAGUAAGAUCAUUCAUAUUUUGGUAACCAUCUUGUAUGCAUGCUAGCAAAGCAUUAACAAGUCAUAUAAUUAAAUCUUAGCCCCUAUAAACUCUUCGUAGGAUCAACUAGCUAGAUAAGGGAAAACUGUAUCUGUAUAGCACAAAGUGCCAAACUGUAUGGCCUGGGGGCCGAAUGCUGUGCCUGUAUGGCUAAAAAGCCGAAAAACUGUAUGACACGUAAUGUGUCGAAAAUAUCAUAUCAUGUAUCCCAUUAGGGCGCAAUACUGCUAAACUGUAUAUGGCAUGCCAUACCCUUAUACUAUUUAUGACUCCUACU
rnacentral:lncRNA from 1 species